rnacentral:rRNA from 1 species
UAAGCGGAGGAAAAGAAACUAACAAGGAUUCCCCUAGUAACUGCGAGUGAAGCGGGAAAAGCUCAAAUUUAAAAUCUGGUGGCCUUUGUCCAUCCGAGUUGUAAUUUAGAGAAGCGUCUUCCGCGCUGGACCGUGCACAAGUCUCCUGGAACGGAGCGUCAUAGAGGGUGAGAAUCCCGUCUUUGGCACGGACACACCAGGGCUUUUGUGAUGCGCUCUCAAAGAGUCGAGUUGUUUGGGAAUGCAGCUCAAAAUGGGUGGUGAACUCCAUCUAAAGCUAAAUAUUGGCGAGAGACCGAUAGCGAACAAGUACCGUGAGGGAAAGAUGAAAAGCACUUUGGAAAGAGAGUGAAACAGUACGUGAAAUUGUUGAAAGGGAAACGCUUGAAGUCAGUCGCGUCGCCCGAGACUCAGCCUUGCCUCGGCUUGGUGUACUUCUCGGCUGACGGGUCAGCAUCAAUUUUGCCCCUUGGAUAAUGGCGAGGGAAAUGUGACACCUUUACGGGUGUGUUAUAGUCUCUCGUCGCAUGCAAGGGUCGGGAUUGAGGAACUCAGCACGCGCCCUCGGGCGUCGGGCAUCUGCCCACGAUACGUGCUUAGGAUGUUGGCGUANUGNNUUUNAACGACC